rnacentral:misc_RNA from 1 species
GUGAAUCAUCGAAUCUUUGAACGCAUAUUGCACUCUCUGGUAUUCCGGAGAGUAUGCCUAUUUGAGGGUCAUUUGAAGUAAUAUAAAUUCCAAGAUUUCUCGGAAUUUAAAAUGGGUUGUCCUUUUUUUGUGGUCGCCUAAAAUCCAAACCAGUCUCAUUUUCUUGGGUUGCGUGUUACUUUCGUUUCCUUCUUGACUUAACCAGGAAUAACGGG